CCCCUCCUCCCUCCUUACACGGAAAACUUUCUCAGGGCUCCUAGGCGCCUGGCUUCUGAGAGCUCCUAAUGGAGCUAAGGAAGCCCAUGACUUCUCUGGUGCCGCUGUUCCCUAGCUGGGGCUGGAAGGGGUCUGUGGAUACUACUUUGCCCACAUCCCCAUGUGAUCUCUUAUCAACAGUAGAUCACCCCGACAAGCCCUUGUCCAUCUCAGGUCCCAGGGGAUACUGUGACAGGUCCAUGCUGCUUUACCUAAGCUUCCUGGCCCUGCCCCUGUCCUGGUCUGCUGACUGCCUACUGAGUGUGACCCGUACUGUCACCAGGGUACUACAUUCAUUACCAGAGUCAGUACCUUGUCUCUCGAUGGUGGCUUCCUGGCAGUAAGGGUGGUAGGCAGUGGAGACAGGAUCCCAUCAGAGGUGAAUCACAGGGUGGAGAGAUGGAGCCUACAGGUCCCCCACAUUUGUGGGGGAAGGUACAGUGGAGGUCAUCCACUGUCUUUUUCAUACCUGUUCUCCACAUUCUUCUUUUGUGUGAUUUCCCUAAUGUUCCCUGUUCUGUGCCCAUCUUUGUCAGGGUUUGAAAUACAAGAGGUAGGGGUGUAUCCCACCAAGAGCUGUCCCUGCCCCUCUUACUCCUUCCUCAAUUUGUCAGGGAAUUGAGUGGUUUUGUUUACUGCCUGAGAACCUCGUGUUGUCUUUCUGCACAGGCUUGACCCACAAGUCCCAAAUGCUUUUGGGCUUCUCUGUUGCCAUGGCAACUGUGGGGGGUUGGCUACAUCCCAGAGUCGUCAUGGCAACUAUCAGAGGGGAAUCAUGCUUGGGAUGCUUUGGCUGGCUUUUUCAUGAAUGAUGAGGGUGUGUGACACAAUGCAGACUGGAGAAUGAGAAGGGCGGGCAAGGGGGCUGGCGGGUUGGCCAUGGGGACAGGGCCUGCCAGACAGCCCGGUAAGUCUGCCAGGUGGCUGGAGUUCUCUGCUGGUGUCUCUGGCUGGAUCCUCUGAACCUACUACCCACCAGUAGCCCCCCACCCUACCCAUAGGGACCUUGGGGUCACUCUGAAGGGCUGGGAUGGCCUGGGAGGAGUGGUGAUGUCACAGCUGCAGUGUCCUUCACGCUGCUACGAUUUCCUGGUGGUUCCGUCCUGGUGACAGGGCCCGGGUUAUGACGACUAAUCCCAAGCCCAACAAGACAUUGAAGGUCAAGAAGGAGGCGGGCGAGAACGCCCCUGUUCUUAGCGACGAUGAGCUGGUGUCCAUGUCGGUGCGGGAGCUGAACCAGCACCUGCGGGGGCUCACCAAGGAGGAGGUAACUCGGCUGAAGCAGCGGCGGCGCACACUCAAGAACCGAGGCUACGCCGCCAGCUGUCGCAUCAAGCGCGUGACACAGAAGGAGGAGCUGGAGCGGCAGCGGGUGGAGCUGCAGCAGGAGGUAGAGAAGCUGGCUCGUGAGAACAGCAGCAUGCGUCUGGAGCUGGAUGCCCUGCGCUCCAAGUACGAGGCCCUGCAGACCUUCGCACGCACCGUGGCCCGAGGGCCUGUCACACCCACCAAGGUGGCCACCACCAGUGUCAUCACCAUCGUCAAAUCCGCAGAGCUCUCCUCCACCUCUGUGCCCUUCUCAGCGGCCUCCUAGUGUCUGCUGGGGCCGGGCAGGGUGCGGGCAGUGGCACAGCCCUCAUGCCUAUCCCAGGCUCCCUGGUACAGAUUCCUCAUGUCUACCUGCCCACUGUGGACCCUGCAGGGCUGAGGGCAGGGACGGCAGGGACAGGCAGAUGCAGGAUAAAAGGGAAGCUCUCAUGAGCCAGUGCCACAAGCAACCCCCACUCACAUCUCUCCUUCCCCUGGGGGUACGUCUCUAGGAGCUGACAGGAACCACACGGGCAACCGCGAUGAACAACUCUAGGCCUCUGUGGCAGAGUGUGAGGACUCAGUCUUCCACUUCUCCGGUGCCUGCUUAUCAGCGUCAUCGGUGCCGUCCCCUCUAAGGGCCUCCAGCUGGGUUGGACACCAUCUGUCUGUCACUUCUGGGCUCUGGCCUUCCUGUCCUUACUAAAGGGCGCUACAACCUGCUUUAGCCCUUAGGUAGAGCCAGGCCCAUGUCCUGGGAAACAGUUCCUGAUAUAGCCACUUGCAGGGGCUAAUGUAUGUGUUCCUGUGUGUACACAGGCUACCAUCACAGCCUGUGAAGACCGGAAACUGCUGGCCAAGUGGGAGAGCCUGGCCGGUAUGUGUGCUGAGGGUUACACAAGUGUCAUGGAGUGUCCCUGGAAGUCUGGUAGGCUGCACCCCAUUGUGGUGCAGGGGCCACCUGUCCACAGAGCCAGCAAACAGCCAGGCUCGGGUUCUCUGGGCCUUAGCAGAGGGGAGAGGCUGGAGAGGAGCAGGGGAAGCCUGAGAGAUGCUAAGGGGUAUGUCGGUGGCGUGUGUGUGUUGUUGCGGAAAGAACAGGAAUGAAGUAGACAGGGAUAGUGUGGAAGCCGAGGUCCAGGGGAUGUGGAAGAGGCCGAGAGGAAUACUGUGGAGGGACAGAGACGACUUCUGGAGGGCCUUAUGCACAUAGCCAUUGUGGGCAGGUCGGCAAGGACCCCAGGCAGACUAUAGGUCACAAAUACUCUGCAACUUUGGUGUCCAAUUGUUACCUGCCUUUUCCUCCUUCAUAGCACUCUGGGGCCACUGGCCAUCUUGGUUUUUUUUAACUGAAGGAAUUGUGUCCUCCAGAUCCUGGGGAAUAUGGUGGACAGGGAGUCAGGGGCAGGCUGAACUACAGCCAGGCACUUAGAAAGCACUGUUGGAACCAUAGCCUUGGUAGGUAAUCCAUAUUGGAUAUCAAUAAGGACCAUGGAUAUUUAAAGAGAGAAGAUAUAUAUAUAUAUAUAAUUAUACACACAUUUUAUCGUACAGAUUUUUCAUAACAAUUUUCUUUCCCAGUUUGAUACUGUAGAUCUUUAUUAAUGCAGAGUAGGUUGGACAGUGGGGUGGGGAACGGAGGCCCAGGGUGCCAACAGCCUCCCUCAGUCUUUCUGUGGUGGUGCUGGCAGGCCGGGUCACUGGAUGAGUGGUCUCCAGGGUAGGCAGGUGACCACUGACUGGCUUGCUGCCCGCUCCUGGCCUCUGGUGGUCCUCCUGGGUGGAGGCCCCAUACUCUUGGCGGCCAGGGGAGACAGGGCUGUCAGUACCACUGGAGCACCUGCAGAGGACACCUGCCAGGAGGGGGCUGGGAAGGGUGUGAGCAUGCCCCAUGGCUUCGUGUCACUGAAAUUUCAUUGUCACAACUUAAUAAUAUAUGGAUGUUUUUAUUUAAAGAUAAAAGUGAGUUUUCUGUCUUGUUCCUCUGACUUCUUAAAGCAAGCUUUAACUAUUUCAAAAGGUGUCAGGGACACAUGCCGAUCAUGCCGAGGCCUGGCAUCCUCAGCCGCCUGCCACUUGGCAAUUUCAUUUCAAUAUUUAUUUUUUUUUUGUGCUUUUUUUCCCCCAUGUUAUAAAUUAUUGAGAAGAGAUCAAGAUCACAGACUGUUGGCCCCGUCUGCACCCUGCCUCAUGGCCACCACCUAAUUUAUUGCUGUACAUGUCGCCGUGACUGCUUUUGUAUCUUUGCAAUAAAGAAUUUCCUGUUUGAGAUGCCUCGGGUGUGUGGAUGGUGAUGUGGUUGGGAACCAUGCAUCCUGCCUGCAGCCUGGGCUGGCCCUUCCCCAGGCCUAGCUUCCUACUCUGUACACCCGGGCCCUCCCCUGGGAGUCGGGUCACAAUCCCAGGCUGGUCUCCUAAGAUGUAGGGACUAUGACAAGGUGACACCUUCCACCU
rnacentral:lncRNA from 1 species